UACAGAGGGUGCGAGCGUUAAUCGGAAUUACUGGGCGUAAAGCGUGCGUAGACGGUUAUUUAAGUCGGGUGUGAAAGCCCCGGGCUCAACCUGGGAAUUGCAUUCGAGACUGAAUAGCUAGGGUACGGUAGAGGGAAGCGGAAUUUCCGGUGUAGCGGUGAAAUGCGUAGAUAUCGGAAGGAACAUCAGUGGCGAAAGCGGCUUCCUGGACCAGUACCGACGUUCAGGCACGAAAGCGUGGGGAGCAGACAGG
rnacentral:rRNA from 1 species